rnacentral:rRNA from 1 species
ACUCAAAUGAAUAGACGGGGGCCCGCACAAGCGGUGGAGCAUGUGGUUUAAUUCGAUGCAACGCGAAGAACCUUACCUACUCUUGCAUCUUCGGAAUUUCUCAGAGAUGAGGAAGUGCCUUCGGGAACCGAAAGACAGGUGCUGCAUGGCUGUCGUCAGCUCGUGUCGUGAGAUGUUGGGUUAAGUCCCGUAACGAGCGCAACCCUUAUCCUUAGUUACUAACAAGUAAAGUUGAGGACUCUAAGGAGACUGCCAGUGACAAACUGGAGGAAGGCGGGGACGACGUCAAGUCAUCAUGGCUUUUACGAGUAGGGCUACACACGUGCUACAAUGGUCGGUACAAAGGGCAGCGAAGUCGCGAGAUGGAGCGAAUCCUAAAAAGCCGAUCUCAGUCCGGAUUGGAGUCUGCAACUCGACUCCAUGAAGCUGGAAUCGCUAGUAAUCGUAGAUCAGAACGCUACGGUGAAUACGUUCCCGGGCCUUGUACACACCGCCCGU